rnacentral:rRNA from 1 species
UACGGGGGGGGGUAAGCGUUGUUCGGAAUUACUGGGCGUAAAGGGCUCGUAGGCGGCCAACUAAGUCAUACGUGAAAUCCCUCAGCUUAACUGGGGAACUGCGUGUGAUACUGGAUGGCUUGAAUUCGGGAGAGGGAUGCAGAAUUCCAGGUGUAGCGGUGAAAUGCGUAGAUAUCUGGAGGAAUACCGGUGGCGAAGGCGGCAUCCUGGACCGACAUUGACGCUGAGGAGCGAAAGCUAGGGGAGCAAACGGG